rnacentral:lncRNA from 1 species
GGAGGGUUCAACUCUACUGCACACUGAAGCCAACACGAUCAAUUUGGGGACAGAAAAGUACAGCGACAGAAAAUUGGGAACGCACGGACAAGAUUAAACAAAGCGCACUUGUAAGAUUUAACAACAGAGCAAGAGAUUGCAGACGAAUUCAGGGAUAAAAUGCUGAGAUUUCCAUUCCAUCGAAACAACAGACAGCAGCGAGAUGCGGCCAUUCCAUUACAGCGAAGACAAUGAACACUGAACAACCGAUGGCUAGCUACGAAUCUGGCGGCGCGAGGCGGAUUCGACCGGACGGGCGCGGCCUAGCCGCCGAAGCCGUAGAGGGUGCGGCCCUGGCGCUUGAGGGCGUAGACGACGUCCAUGGCGGUGACGGUCUUGCGGCGGGCGUGCUCGGUGUAGGUGACGGCGUCGCGGAUGACGUUCUCCAGGAAGAUCUUGAGCACGCCGCGGGUCUCCUCGUAGAUGAGCCCCGAGAUGCGCUUCACGCCGCCCCUGCGAG